rnacentral:rRNA from 1 species
GACGAACGCUGGCGGCGUGCUUAACACAUGCAAGUCGAACGAUGAAGAAAAGAAUUGAAGCUUCGGCAGAAAUUCAUUUCGGAUUAGUGGCAGACGGGUGAGUAACGCGUGAGCUACCUACCUCUUACAAAGGGAUAGCCUCGGGAAACCGGGAUUAAUACCAUAUAACAUUGCGACGAAGCAUUUCGAUGCAAUAAAAGCUACGGCGGUAAGAGAUGGGCUCGCGUCCCAUUAACCAGAUGGUGAGGUAACGGCUCACCAUAGUAACGAUGGGUAACCGGCCUGAGAGGGUGAACGGUCACACUGGAACUGAGACACGGUCCAGACUCCUACGGGAGGCAGCAGUGGGGAAUAUUGCACAAUGGAGGGAACUCUGAUGCAGCGACGCCGCGUGAGUGAUGAAGGAAUUCGUUUCGUAAAACUCUGUUCUAUGGGAAGAAAAGGACUGUACCAUAGGAGAAAGCUCCGGCUAAAUACGUG